AAAUUUAGGUUAAACACCAAACCAAGGGCCUUCAAAGCCCUAAAUACGAGCCGACCCCCUCAUAAUUUCUG
rnacentral:tRNA from 1 species